rnacentral:rRNA from 1 species
AGAGUUUGAUCCUGGCUCAGGAUGAACGCUGGCGGCAUGCCUAAUACAUGCAAGUCGAACGGAGAAGGAAGGUGCUUGCAUCUUCCGGAUCAGUGGCGAACGGGUGAGUAACACGUAGGUAACCUGCCCAUGUACCCGGGACAACGGUUGGAAACGACUGCUAAAACCGGAUAGGCAUAUGGAAGGCAUCUUCGAUAUGUUAAAGGGGCCACGGCCCUGGACAUGGAUGGACCUGCGGUGCAUUAGCCAGUUGGUGAGGUAACGGCCCACCAAGGCGACGAUGCAUAGCCGACCUGAGAGGGCGAACGGCCACAUUGGGACUGAGACACGGCCCAAACUCCUACGGGAGGCAGCAGUAGGGAAUUUUCGUCAAUGGGGGGAACCCUGAACGAGCAAUGCCGCGUGAGUGAAGACGGUCUUCGGAUUGUAAAGCUCUGUUGCGAGAGAAAAAGGACAGGAAGAGGGAAUGCUUCCGGUUUGAUGGUAUCUCGCCAGAAAGUCACGGCUAACUACGUGCCAGCAGCCGCGGUAAUACGUAGGUGGCGAGCGUUAUCCGGAAUGAUUGGGCGUAAAGGGUACGUAGGCGGCCAGAUAAGUCUGGUGUGAAAGGCUGCAGCUCAACUGCAGCACUGCACUGGAAACUGUCCGGCUGGAGUGCAGAAGAGGGCGAUGGAACUCCAUGUGUAGCGGUAAAAUGCGUAGAUAUAUGGAAGAACACCGGUGGCGAAGGCGGUCGCCUGGUCUGCAACUGACGCUGAAGUACGAAAGCGUGGGGAGCAAAUAGGAUUAGAUACCCUAGUAGUCCACGCCGUAAAC